GCCCGGGUGGUGGAACGGUAGACACGCUGGCUUGAGGGGUCAGUGGGGGCAACCUCGUGCGAGUUCGAUUCUCGCUCCGGGCACCA
rnacentral:tRNA from 1 species